rnacentral:rRNA from 1 species
UACGUAGGGGGCAAGCGUUGUCCGGAUUUAUUGGGCGUAAAGAGCGUGUAGGCGGCCUGGAAGGUCAGCUGUGAAAACUCGAGGCUCAACCUCGAGACGUCGGUUGAAACCACCUGGCUAGAGUCCGGAAGAGGAGUGUGGAAUUCCUGGUGUAGCGGUGAAAUGCGCAGAUAUCAGGAGGAACACCGGUGGCGAAGGCGGAUCUCUGGGCCAUUACUGACGCUGAGGAGCGAAAGCGUGGGGAGCGAACAGG